UUACGUUUUAGAAUGAGAAAUUUAAUUCACAUAUUGGUAUCAAUUUUUCAAAAAUUAUUAAUAUUAAUAUUGAUUUUGAAGAAAAUUAUAUUCACAUGUGGAUGGGUGAGAGGUAUAAUAGUUAACAUGGUUGUUCAUAGUUUGUAUCUUUCGACUAAACUGAUUAGAUUCUGAUGAUAAUUAUUUGAUUAUCUUUUCAUGUGUGAUAUCUUCGAUUUCAUGGCCACGAUUGCAGUAGUAACGGGGGCAUUCCAAACUUUAGAAAUUGAGCUACACCGACUCUUUGUGCUCAGGAAGGAUGUAUGAGAUUCUUUUGCUUUGGGGGUGCUCCAACAGGCAUCUGGUAUCUUAUCGAUUACUUGAAAAAUCUGUCAAUUCUGUAAUAGAUGAUACUAAAACGUGUUCAUGGAAACAAUGAGAGAUCAUGGAACUUCUAUUUUAUGCGAUAUCUUCAAUCUUCAGAAUUACAAUUGCAGUUGUUGCAAUUAAGGCGUUAUAAGAAUUCCGGUAUCAACAUUACAAUUGUGAUUGUUUACAUUGCGGUUGUGGCAUUACAAUUGUGAUUGUAGUCAUUGCAGUUGUUGCAUUACAAGUAUUACGGUUGUGGUGUUACAAGCAAUGUGGUUGCGACAUCAGAAUUGUGAUUUCUUCCGUUGCGGUUUCAGUGUUACAAUUGCAGUUGCAGUGUUACAAGCAUUUGACAGAAUCUCAUGGUGGACAUAAUGUUAUUUAGGGUCUUGACUCUUUCUUCAAUAUUCAUAAUCCUAUGAGAGUUUUGCUUAGAUUUCUUUGUAAUUUGCACUACUGGUCUGAACAUAUAUUUCUUUUGUCUUAAAUUUAUUUUUUGAUUA